AUGGCGACCGGCGCACGGGUGAGUAACACGCAUCCAACCUGCCGAUAACUCGGGGAUAGCCUUUCGAAAGAAAGAUUAAUACCCGAUGGUAUAAUCAGACCGCAUGGUCUUGUUAUUAAAGAAUUUCGGUUAUCGAUGGGGAUGCGUUCCAUUAGGCAGUUGGUGAGGUAACGGCUCACCAAACCUUCGAUGGAUAGGGGUUCUGAGAGGAAGGUCCCCCACAUUGGAACUGAGACACGGUCCAA
rnacentral:rRNA from 1 species